AUUGAACGCUGGCGGCAUGCUUUACACAUGCAAGUCGAACGGUAACAGGCCUUCGGGUGCUGACGAGUGGCGAACGGGGGAGUAAUGCAUCGGAACGUACCCAGAGGUGGGGGAUAACGCAGCGAAAGCUGUGCUAAUACCGCAUGUGAUCUGAGGAUGAAAGCGGGGGACCGAGCAGCAAUGUUUGGCCUCGCGCCUUUGGAGCGGCCGAUGUCGGAUUAGCUAGUUGGUGGGGUAAAGGCCUACCAAGGCGACGAUCCGUAGCUGGUCUGAGAGGACGACCAGCCACACUGGGACUGAGACACGGCCCAGACUCCUGCGGGAGGCAGCAGUGGGGAAUUUUGGACAAUGGGCGCAAGCCUGAUCCAGCAAUGCCGCGUGCGGGAAGAAGGCCUUCGGGUUGUAAACCGCUUUUGGCAGGAACGAAACGGUGUCCGCUAAUACCGGGCGCUAAUGACGGUACCUGCAGAAUAAGCACCGGCUAACUACGUG
rnacentral:rRNA from 1 species